AGCAUCGAACAACGCAGCUGGAGGCACCUAGACUCCCCCUUCCCUUUUCUCCCUUUCAGGGUAAGGAUUAGUAAUGAAGAAAGACGGAACAAAGAUCAAAGGCAAAAAUUAACUCUACCUGGAAAUUGAACAUGGAAAAGUUAUAUGGGCAAUUUAGGGAAAUUCUAAAUAACUUUGAAUUGCAGUACUGUUGUAUAUUUCAAGGCAGAAAUGCAACGGUGGUAAUUUUACUGGGUAAGCCAUCUACUAAAUGAUUGGCUUUACUUUCUUGUGUGGCCAAUUCUAUGCUUUAGUUGUUACCAGAAGUACACAAAAACCUCCCAAGAGUCAUCAUUUCCCCAGAAGCCAAAUCUAUCUUCAUCUCUUUCUAUGAUUACGAGAGCUUGGGUGAAGAUUGGAGCACCGAAUCGCCCCCUCCAACAACGGUUUCCACAUAUUAAAAAAGCAGAUUUUUGCUAAUGAGUUGAAA